UACAGAGGGGGCGAGCGUUAUUCGGAAUUAUUGGGCGUAAAGGGCGCGUAGGCGGCUUUUCAAGUGACGGGUGAAAUCCCUCGGCUUAACCGAGGAACUGCCUGUCAGACUGGAAGGCUUGAGACCGGGAGAGGUGAGUGGAAUUCCCAGUGUAGCGGUGAAAUGCGUAGAUAUUGGGAGGAACACCAGUGGCGAAGGCGGCUCACUGGACCGGAACUGACGCUGAGGCGCGAAAGCGUGGGGAGCAAACAGG
rnacentral:rRNA from 1 species